rnacentral:rRNA from 1 species
AGCGAACGCUGGCGGCAGGCUUAACACAUGCAAGUCGAGCGGGCGUAGCAAUACGUCAGCGGCAGACGGGUGAGUAACGCGUGGGAACGUACCUUUUGGUUCGGAACAACACAGGGGAAACUUGUGCUAAUACCGGAUAAGCCCUUACGGGGAAAGAUUUAUCGCCGAAAGAUCGGCCCGCGUCUGAUUAGCUAGUUGGUGAGGUAACGGCUCACCAAGGCGACGAUCAGUAGCUGGUCUGAGAGGAUGAUCAGCCACAUUGGGACUGAGACACGGCCCAAACUCCUACGGGAGGCAGCAGUGGGGAAUAUUGGACAAUGGGCGCAAGCCUGAUCCAGCCAUGCCGCGUGAGUGAUGAAGGCCCUAGGGUUGUAAAGCUC